rnacentral:rRNA from 1 species
GACGUAGGGCGCGAGCGUUGUCCGGAUUAUUGGGCGUAAAGAGCUCGUAGGCGGCUUGUCGCGUCGAAUGUGAAAUCCUGCGGCUCAACUGCAGGCUUGCAUUCGAUACGGGCAGGCUCGAGUUCGGUAGGGGAGACUGGAAUUCCGGUGUAGCGGUGAAAUGCGCAGAUAUCAGGAGGAACAGCCGGUGGCGAAGGCGGGUCUCUGGGCCGAUACUGACGCUGAGGAGCGAAAGCGUGGGGAGCGAACAGG